rnacentral:tRNA from 1 species
AUAUUUAUAGUUUAAUGGGAAAAUACAUCUUAAAUUGGGAUGAGAAAAUAAGUUCAAAUCUUAUUUAAAUAUA